rnacentral:misc_RNA from 1 species
AACACUGUUAACCUGCGGUACCUGCGGAGGGAUCAUUACCGAGUUUACAACUCCCAAACCCCUGUGAACAUACCUAUACGUUGCCUCGGCGGAUCAGCCCGCGCCCCGUAAAAAGGGACGGCCCGCCCGAGGACCCCUAAACUCUGUUUUUAGUGGAACUUCUGAGUAAAACAAACAAAUAAAUCAAAACUUUCAACAACGGAUCU